AAAUGUCUCUUGUUGCUCUACUUUCCCGCGGGGGCUGAAGCUUCUCUCCUAGAUGCGUGUGGGUGGGCAGAAAGAAAAAAUGCAGCCGAAGUAGUUUUCGCGCUGCACUGAAAACUCUCUUCUGUGUUUUUUUUUGGUGAGUCGGAGGAGGGGGCAGUGGUGGGGAGACGGCCCCGGGUUUCUUCGUGGGUUUAAUUCUGGCGUUCGGAAAGCCUUGCAAACUCCGCCUCCCUCCCCCUCCUGCCCGCCCCCUUCCCUUCAGUCCCAGCGCAGCAUCUGUGCCCAGCGGGGCCCGGCGCGGCAGCAGGUCCAAUAAAGCGGACGGAGGUGAGUGAGCGAGCUGCAGUUUCUUUCGCUUGGGCAGAAAGGGGUUGCGUCCCGGAGACUUGCUCCAGGAGCCCAGCGUCCGAGAAUGAUAUUGAGGACAUGAAUCUACUGCUGAAUUAAACUAUUGGAGAUUUUCCCUUUACUUAUGACUAUGCAGUUUUUAAAAAACUAUAUUUUAAUUUAGAAUCUUCUGGACAGCACAGUUGAGGUAAGGUAUUAGUAUUGUGGUGAGCAUUCUCCUUCCUUACAUGCACUAAUAAUUUCACCCUGCUUCAUACAUUUUUUUAUGGUAUCUGUUAAGCUCUUACUAUGUGCCAAACAUUAUAUUAAGCAGUGGGAUAGAUAAAAGUUGAUCAGGUUGAACAAAGUCCAUGUCCCAUGUGGGACUCACAGUCUUAACCCCCA
rnacentral:lncRNA from 1 species